rnacentral:rRNA from 1 species
UGACCUCAAAUCAGGUAAGAA